AGCAGCCGCGGUAAUUCCAGCUCCAAUAGCGUAUAUUAAAGUUGUUGCAGUUAAAAAGCUCGUAGUUGAAUUUCGGGGUCAGUAGGUUGGUCAUGCCUCCGGUAUGUACUGGUCUCACUGAUUCCUCCUUCCUGAUGAGCCGUAAUGCCAUUAAUUUGGUGUUGCGGGGAAUCUGGACUGUUACUUUGAAAAAAUUAGAGUGUUUAAAGCAAGCUAACGCUUGAAUACAUUAGCAUGGAAUAAUGGAAUAGGACGUUCGAUCCUAUUUUGUUGGUUUCUAGGAUUGACGUAAUGAUUAAUAGGGAUAGUUGGGGGCAUUAGUAUUCAAUUGUCAGAGGUGAAAUUCUUGGAUUUAUUGAAGACUAACUACUGCGAAAGCAUUGUCCAAGGA
rnacentral:rRNA from 1 species